UCAAAAACAUAGCCUUUUGAGUAAAUUAUAAAAGGUUCAUCCUGCUCUAUGAAAUUAAAUUAAAUGGCCGCGGUAUCCUGACCGUGCAAAGGUAGCAUAAUCAUUUGCCUCUUAAUUAGAGGCUGGAAUGAAUGGACACACGAAAUCUUAACUGUCUCAUAAGUUUUAUUAAAAAUUUCUCUCUAAGUGAAGAAUCUUAGAUUAAAUUGAAAGACAAGAAGACCCUAAUGAGCUUUAAUUUUAUCACAUUUACCUUUGAAAUUCUAAUUAUCUUAUAAAUUAAGUAAAAUUUUUGUUGGGGCGACAAAAGACACUCACUGACAUCUUUACAUUAACUCAGAGGUAUUUCUCAAUACAAUUGACCUAAUCACAUUAAUCAAUAGCACUAGCUACCAUAGGGAUAACAGACUAAUUUUUCUUUAGAGCCCAAAUUCACAGAAAAGAUUGGCACCUCGAUGUUGGCUUAGAGGCCCCUUGUGAUGCAGCAGUCACAAAAGGUGGGUUUGUUCAACCCUUAAUACUCUACGUGAUCUGA
rnacentral:rRNA from 1 species